UCAGGGCACAAAAGUAGUACUUUUUUACACGCCAUUGUAGCCUUUUUUAGUGAUAGUGCGCAUGCUAGUGUUUUAUCUCGGACCUACCGCAGGACCUUGUGUUCCUCUGACUCCAGGUGAACCUCGGUUCCCCUGCAUGCCUCGCGGUCCAGGUGUGCCAGGAGGCCCUUCAACGCCAGGCUGGCCUCGACUUCCUUCUGGACCUCGUCUGCCAGGCUCGCCAAGGUUGCCAAUCUUUGGGACAAAUAAGGAGGCAGACCAAAGAGUUCAAACAAAACGUCUUUGCUUGAUACCAAAUCCUAAAAAAGCAGUGCCAGUUUAAAGCAAUAUUUUAAACACCUCUCCCUUUGCUCCAGAUUCUCCAGGUUGGCCCUAGAAGACAAUGAAUACAUCAGAAAACAUGGGGAUGUUAUGCAUUGUACUUUCUUGGGAUCAAAUAAGUGUUUGUAUUUGCAUAACAACAUACAUUAUCUCCUUUGUCUCCAGGGUUGCCUUCAUCGCCUUGCAGACCCUGAAAAAAAAUUCCUGCACAUGAAUAAUACGAUCCAAUCCUUUUUCGGUUAAAUAUCAUGUUAGCGCAUACAUGGAAUUAUCAUUUCACAUCAGGACUUCAUACCUGGUCUCCCUUGGGUCCUCCUUCUCCACGCUCACCCUGUAAUAAACAAGACAAAUGAGCUUCGCUGCAAGCCAUUGUGCUUGUGACUGUUUGUGUGUGCAUUCAUCUACAGCAGAUGGAGCCUGCGCUGAGUAAUAAUCAUCCAAACAAUAGUUUUUGAAUCUCUGAAAGCUGUGGUGAUUUUCUUACCCGCUCUCCUUUGACUCCAGGAGUGCCAGGAGGGCCUGGAAUACCAGGAAGACCAGGAUCACCUUUGGGUCCCUAUACAACAAAACCCCACAGGAACAUUUAGAAGCACCGACUUACUGUUGCCCCGCCAACACCCUGAGGACCUGGACCUCCAUCAAGACCACGAGCCCCCUGCCAGACGACAACAUUUGACAGAGCCCAUCAAGCCUGUGGCUCCACGGAUCCCCUGGCCACCCUGAAACAACAAACAAAGCAAA